UACGAACUGUGCAAACGUUAUUCGGAAUCACUGGGCUUAAAGGGUGCGUAGGCGGCUUGUUAAGUAGGGUGUGAAAUCCCCCGGCUCAACCGGGGAAUUGCGCCCUAAACUGGCGAGCUGGAGUGAGAUAGGGGUGUGUGGAACUUCCAGUGGAGCGGUGAAAUGUGUUGAUAUUGGAAGGAACGCCAGUGGCGAAAGCGACACACUGGGUCUCAACUGACGCUGGGGUGCGAAAGCAUGGGGAGCGAACAGG
rnacentral:rRNA from 1 species